rnacentral:lncRNA from 1 species
UUUUUUACUAUACGACUUUAGGGUCUUAUCAAUUAGUAUCAGAGCGACGAUAAGACCUUUAAGGUCUUAUCAUUUGGUAUCAGAGUGACGAUAAGACCUUUAGGGUCUUAUCAAUUGGUAUCAGAGCAUCCCCAUUUCUCCCCUUUCUUCCACGAUAAGAUUUUAGGGUCUUAUCAUUUGGUAUCAGAGCGGUGAUCCUUGGCGUUCUCGCUGCAGUAUUGCCGUGGCAAUAAAAAAAAAAAAA